GAACAAGGCUGUCUGAUUUUGGUUCUUUCAAGAUACUGUUAUUAAAGGUUUAAUUUUUUUCCUCAAAUUUUCCAAUGAUGUUUGCAAAGAGCCCACUGGAGAUGGAUUGUAGUUGAGUUUUCUGUUGUAGAUGUUAAUAGUGUUGUGCAAAACGGUAGCUUGAUUGGUGUCUUUCACACUUUUCAUUGACAUUCUUCCAUGUGCUUUUGGGGUUCAAAUAAAGAUUUAUGAAAGAGUGGUAGUACCUGAUUUGCCCUUCUUGCCUGAUUUAAAUAUAAUAAGGUUCGGGAAGAAGUUGAAUUUCAGUCAUGGGCAUCCUUUAUUUGGGGGUGGAUGAGUAUUGUGCAUCCCUUGCGUCCUUUUCUUUUCCCAUGAAGACAAAAAAAAAAAUGCAAAGAAAGUGGUGGUGGUGGUGGUGUCAAAACGAAUGGAAAGUGGAGAAAACAAACAGUGCUUGGAGAUUUUGUGCGAAAGCAUCUUUAAUUUCUUGUGAGACACUUGCUUGACUCCAUCACUUAACGCUCAUUACCCCUUAAAACUAGAAUUUGAAAUUUGGCCAUGACAAGAUGCUCAUUACCCCAAAAGAAUGGUGUUGAUUCUUAAAUGCAGGUAUUUUCUUGCAUCAUGUUUGACAAUAUCUUACACUAUUUUGUUGAGUUCACCAUGUAUAUAAUGGCUUAAUUUUAUAUGGCAAUGAAUGGUCACGUUCUUCGUUAGGUGUUGUUGAAGUUGUGUUGCCAACCGAUCACAGUAUCCAUACUAGAGCAUAAGGUACUUGUCGAACAACUCACUUCACUUUGAUACUUUGAAAUAAUUAAAUUGGCUCGAACUGAAUUUUGUCAAUUCUGGACUUUUGUUGAGUUCCAUUUCUUGAUGCGACUUCAAGGUGUCAGGCCCUUUUAGUUUCAUACUAUGUCAUAUUAAAAAUUGUGCUGAUUUGGUUGCCAGAUUCUUUUGCAUGGAUGUGUAUCCAGUUGGUAAGAAAUUAAUCGUUGGUAUGAGCAUAAGACUUAAGUAUUAAAGAUAGCAUAGUGCCUAGAGUUUUAUUUCUGAGUUGGGUUCAUACUAACAACCCCUUUGGAUCGUGACAAAGGAUGAGAAAAAUCCUCACUUAGCUGGAUAACGAAAUGAGAUGAAAAGUGGUGAGAAAAGAUGAGAAGCCAAGAAAAGAGAUUCAUCUCUUUUGGUACAUUGUAUUUCUCACCAGAUCUUAUAACUUUUCCAAGGGAAAAGAAAGUGGAAGGGGCAUUGUGGGAGAGAGAUUUUCAUGCUUUUCAUUUUUUACUUGCAUUCUUGCUUUUGGUGGCUUAUUUUCUUUAGCGUUUACGUACUUAUUUUGACAGUUUGAGCACAAUAAUCUAUUCUAUCUACCAACUGGGGUCCGAUUUUAUUCCCAUUGCGGAAUAUGGAAAUGAGUUCAGUAAGGGUUCAAGAAAAGAAAAGAAAACCAAGGAAAGUGGUGAGGCUCUUGUACAGUGGGAAGAACCAUUAUGAACUACUUGUCUGAGAACUAGUGCUUCAAGUCUAACAGGAGAGGAUACACUGGUAACCUCCGUAGUUUCAUCUAGAAUAGAAUUGGCAGAAUCAUCGGGUCGUAGACAAAACACAUUCACAGAAGCAAGGAAUCGAUGCAAUUUUGCCUUCGAAGCAAUCACAGGAUGACAGAAGUUGCAAAUUCCCUGGGUUUUUUUUUUAUUGUUUGUACAUACUGAAAAAAUUAAUAUAGAACAUAGAAUAAAGGAUGAAAUUAGGCAAAGAUGAAGUUACAUUUAUAUAUACUAAUUAGAUAUUUUGGUGCCCACUUUCCGUCUCCAAAUAUAUAUAAGGAAGUUAUAUUUGGAUUGCAGUGACAUGGUAUCCUGUUCCAAAAGCAGUUUACCAUUUCCUAAGAGAUGGGACUUUCUUUUACGUAGAAACUAGCAGAGGUGAACGAGCUAUUGCUGUUGAAGCAAUUGGAAGAGGAACUGGUCUUCUCGUUUAAAAAAAGUUUGAUAGGUUCCUGGAAGAUUAUGCAAACAUACCCUUGGGAGAGAUGGUUCAGUGGGAUUUGAAAACAUAUUAUUUACCACUCCUUUGUUGUUUAAAGCGUGCCAGGUAAUUACAAGUUUUUUUCGUAGAGUACUGUUGGACAUAUUGUUUCAUUUAAAAAUGUUUUCUCCACAGCAGCUACAUUGGAACUUUUUGUAACCAUUCUUUUGAACAAUGUUAUUGGUGUUCGCUAUUGCUAGUAUUUGAAAUAUGUAUCUCAACUUCAUUUAACCAUGCCAACGGGGCAAAUUUGAUAUUGAAAUCACUAAUGCAACUAGUUCGAUUGAGGCGGCAAUCUUUGCUGAAAAAAUAGAAGAUUUCUUUGGUAUUACGACAGCAAAAAUAAUGAAAAAUGCAGUGGAGGACUAUCCCUCUCUGCCUCUACUCCAUAAAUUAUCAACACCAAAGAAAGUGACUGCCAACUUGAAGGCAUACAUGUACAACUAUGCAGGAAUGAGUACAUGCAAAUUCAGUGUUGACUGUUGAGGCAAUCUUCAAUAUGGGAGCCCCAGAUGAUAUUGAAACACUUGGGCUUCAAGCUUUGAACACGCCGAACAACAAAGCCAAAAAAGACAAAAACAAGGCUUCAGCAUCCCAUGAAACACAACCCUCCAGCCCGGCUUCAACCACCAUGAUGCAUGAGGCACUCGUAGAAGAAGAAAUCAACAAGAAAAACGACUAGAUCAGGAAUCACAACAACUUUUGAAAGCCUAGCAGAUUAACAAGGAGGCAAAGCUUUUGGUGUGCAUGUUUUGCUUCCCAAAUAUCUACACCUGAAGAACGACUACAUCAGGAAUCACAACUUCUUUUUAGAUUAAAAAGGAUGCAAAGCUUUUGGUGUGCAUGCUUUGCUUCCAAUAUUACUAAAUCUGUAACCUUUUAUCUGCAAAACUUUGGUUGUAAAUCAUGUUCUCGCUUCCAAACUCUUAAUGUAAAUUAUAAGACAUGCUUCUUUUGGAAAAAUUCUCUGAAACUAUCACAUCGGGCAUAAUCCUCGUACUAUGCUCACCUAGU